UCUAGAACUCGAGAUAUGGGCUGAACACAGAACAAUGUCUGGGCUGCAAAACAUAUUCCGACUUCUCUGUUGUUACUACAAUUUGGACUUGAAAACGGUACUUUUGAAUCUUGGACUCUUCAUGAAAGUUUUAGGCCUAUGUCUUAACUUUCUAUC
rfam:Populus trichocarpa scaffold_4_contig_221, whole genome shotgun sequence.